rnacentral:rRNA from 1 species
AUUGAACGCUGGCGGCAGGCCUAACACAUGCAAGUCGAGCGAGUGGCGGACGGGUGAGUAAUGUCUGGGGAUCUGCCCGAUGGAGGGGGAUAACUACUGGAAACGGUAGCUAAUACCGCAUACUAUCGGAUGUGCCCAUAUGGGAUUAGCUAGUAGGUGGGGUAAAGGCUCACCUAGGCGACGAUCCCUAGCUGGUCUGAGAGGAUGACCAGCCACACUGGAACUGAGACACGGCCCAGACUCCUACGGGAGGCAGCAGUGGGGAAUAUUGCACAAUGGGCGCAAGCCUGAUGCAGCCAUGCCGCGUGUAUGAAGAAGGCCUUAGGGUUGUAAAGUACUUUCAGCGGGGAGGCGUUACCCGCAGAAGAAGCACCGGCUAACUCCGUGCCAGCAGCCGCGGUAAUUC